CUUUCAACAACGGAUCUCUUGGUUCUGGCAUCGAUGAAGAACGCAGCGAAAUGCGAUAAGUAAUGUGAAUUGCAGAAUUCAGUGAAUCAUCGAAUCUUUGAACGCACAUUGCGCCCGUCAGUAUUCUGGCGGGCAUGCCUGUUCGAGCGUC
rnacentral:rRNA from 1 species